GUAUCAAGUGUCUUGUUCGGCUGUUUAUCUCUGAGGGGUAUCUAUUCCCCUUACCCUUCAGAGUAUCUAUUUUUUCCUCCCAUAUCUGGUUUGGAAAGACUUAUGAGGACCACUCCUAGUGGAUGAGGGCAUGCCCUCUGACGAGAGUGGUGUCGCGCUAUCUAUAGGGGUCACCCGUAGCUAAGUAAUGUCAUAACUAUAGAUAUCUAUUGGUACGACCAUUUUCAUAUAUCGUACCAUGGUUUGGCCAGCCAAAAAUAGGCCUGAGAAAAUUGUUGUAUUUGUAUAUGAUCUUAUCAUUCCACUUGGUUAGUUGGAAAUCUGUAUCUGCUCUCAAAGAUGGAAGUUGUAACGACUUCAAAAAGCAUAAUCUAGCAUGAUGUAUGUUUGAUUUUCUAUGCUAAC
rnacentral:lncRNA from 1 species